rnacentral:tRNA from 1 species
GGGCGAGUGGUGAAAUGGCAGACACGCCAGCCUUAGGAGCUGGUGCUCGCAAGAGCAUGGAGGUUCAAGUCCUCUCUCGCCCACAA